GGCCACAUCACAUUGAAACACCAGUUCCUGUAUGAUCACUUGAAGUUAAGCAACAUUGAGCCUGGUCAGUAUCAAGAUGGGUGACCACUUGGGAAUACCAGGUGGUGUAA